UGGGACUGCGGCCUAUCAGCUUGUUGGUGAGGUAAUGGCCCACCAAGGCGAUUACAGGUACGGGCUCUGAGAGGAGAAGCCCGGAGAUGGGUACUGAGACACGGACCCAGGCCCUAUGGGGCGCAGCAGGCGAGAAAACUUUGCAAUGUGCGAAAGCACGACAAGGUUAAUCCGAGUGAUUUCUGCUAAAGAAAUCUUUUACCAGUCGUAAAACCGCUGGUGAAUAAGGGGUGGGCAAGUUCUGGUGUCAGCCGCCGCGGUAAAACCAGCACCUCAAGUGGUCAGGAUGAUUAUUGGGCCUAAAGCAUCCGUAGCCGGCUCUGUAAGUUUUCGGUUAAAUCUAUACGCUCAACGUAUGGGCUGCCGAAAAUACUGUAGAGAUAGGGAGUGGGAGAGGUAGACGGUACUCGGUAGGAAGGGGUAAAAUCCUUUGAUCUAUUGAUGACCACCUGUGGCGAAGGCGGUCUACCAGAACACGUUCGACGGUGAGGGAUGAAAGCUGGGGGAGCAAACCGGAUUAGAUACCCGGGUAGUCCCAGCUGUAAACGAUGCAGACUCGAUGAUGCAUUGGCAUAUAGCCAGCGCAGUGUCGCAGGGAAGCCGUUAAGUCUGCCGCCUGGGAAGUACGUACGCAAGUAUGAAACUUAAAGGAAUUGGCGGGGGAGCACCACAAGGGGUGAAGCCUGCGGUUCAAUUGGAUUCAACGCCGGG
rnacentral:rRNA from 1 species